rnacentral:rRNA from 1 species
UACGAGGGGGGCGAGCGUUGUUCGGAAUUAUUGGGCGUAAAGGGCGCGUAGGCGGUGCGGUAAGUCACCUGUGAAACCUCUGGGCUUAACUCAGAGCCUGCAGGCGAAACUGCCGUGCUGGAGUGUGGGAGAGGUGCGUGGAAUUCCCGGUGUAGCGGUGAAAUGCGUAGAUAUCAGGAGGAACACCGGUGGCGAAGGCGGUUCUCUGGGCAUUACCUGACGCUGAGGAGCGAAAGUGUGGGGAGCGAACAGG